AUUGAACGCUGGCGGCAGGCCUAACACAUGCAAGUCGGACGGUAGCACAGAGAGCUUGCUCUCGGGUGACGAGUGGCGGACGGGUGAGUAAUGUCUGGGGAUCUGCCCGAUAGAGGGGGAUAACCACUGGAAACGGUGGCUAAUACCGCAUAACGUCGCAAGACCAAAGAGGGGGACCUUCGGGCCUCUCACUAUCGGAUGAACCCAGAUGGGAUUAGCUAGUAGGCGGGGUAACGGCCCACCUAGGCGACGAUCCCUAGCUGGUCUGAGAGGAUGACAGGCCACACUGGAACUGAGACACGGUCCAGACUCCUACGGGAGGCAGCAGUGGGGAAUAUUGCACAAUGGGCGCAAGCCUGAUGCAGCCAUGCCGCGUGUAUGAAGAAGGCCUUCGGGUUGUAAAGUACUUUCAGCGGGGAGGAAGGCGAUGUGGUUAAUAACCGCGUCGAUUGACGUUACCCGCAGAAGAAGCACCGGCUAACUCCGUGCCAGCCGCCGCCGUAA
rnacentral:rRNA from 1 species